CGUGCAGGCGGUACGGUAAGUUGGAUGUGAAAGCUCCCGGCUCAACUGGGAGAGGUCGUUCAAUACUGCCGAACUAGAGGAUGGGAGAGGGAGGUGGAAUUCCGGGUGUAGUGGUGAAAUGCGUAGAUAUCCGGAGGAACACCAGUGGCGAAGGCGGCCUCCUGGCCCAUUUCUGACGCUCAGACGCGAAAGCUAGGGGUAGCAAACG
rnacentral:rRNA from 1 species